rnacentral:tRNA from 1 species
AUAAUUAUAGUUUUUAAUAAAAUAUUUCUUUUACAAAGAAAAGAUAAAUUAUAUUUUUUAAUUAUA